rnacentral:rRNA from 1 species
GUGCCAGCCGCCGCGGUAAUACGGAGGGUGCAAGCGUUAUCCGGAUUUAUUGGGUUUAAAGGGUCCGUAGGCGGAUGCGUAAGUCAGUGGUGAAAUCUCACAGCUCAACUGUGAAACUGCCAUUGAUACUGCGUGUCUUGAGUAAGGUAGAAGUAGCUGGAAUAAGUAGUGUAGCGGUGAAAUGCAUAGAUAUUACUUAGAACACCAAUUGCGAAGGCAGGUUACUAUGUCUUAACUGACGCUGAUGACGAAAGCGUGGGAGCGAACAGGAUUAGAUACCCUGGUAGUCCACGCCGUAAACGAUGCUAACUCGUUUUGGGCUUUAAGCUUCAGAGACUAAGCGAAAGUGAUAAGUUAG